rnacentral:lncRNA from 1 species
UGCAACACGAGGACUUCCCAGGAGGUCACCCAUCCUAGUACUACUCUCGCCCAAGCACGCUUAACUUCGGAGUUCUGAUGGGAUCCGGUGCUUUAGUGCUGGUAUGAUCGCAUUCGACAUACCGUGCGUUCUCCUCCCCUUUAUGCCCGCGCCUCCGUGUACGGGCCGCCCAUAGCUCCUUCGACGGCGCCGCCUAGGAACGCGGAGAAAAUAUGACAAAGGAACGGCCAAAAAUAAAAAGAAAGACCUGUUCUUUUGAAAAAACAAACUAAAAAAAGGAAUGCAGCACGAGGACUUCCCAGGAGGUCACCCAUCCUAAUACUACUCUCGCCCAAGCACGCUUAACUUCGGAGUUCUGAUGGGAUCCGGAGCUUUAGUGUUGGUAUGAUCGCAUCCGACAUACCGUGCGUUCUCCUCCCCUUUAUGCACCCGCCUCCGUGUACGGCCCGCCCAUAGCUCCUUCGACGGCGCCGCCUAGGAACGCGGAGAAAAUAUGACAAAGGAACGGCCAAAAAUAAAAAGAAAGACCUUUCUUUUGAAAAAACAAACAAAAAAAAGGAAUGCAACACGAGGACUUCCCAGGAGGUCACCCAUCCUAGUACUACUCUCGCCCAAGCACGCUUAACUUCGGAGUUCUGAUGGGAUCCGGUGCUUUAGUGCUGGUAUGAUCGCAUCCGACAUACCGUGCGUUCUCCUCCCCUUUAUGCCCGCGCCUCCGUGUACGGCCCGCCCAUAGCUCCUUCGACGGCGCCGCCUAGGAACGCGGAGAAAAUAUGACAAAGGAACGGCCAAAAAUAAAAAGAAAGACCUUUCUUUUGAAAAAACAAACAAAAAAAAGGAAUGCAACACGAGGACUUCCCAGGAGGUCACCCAUCCUAGUACUACUCUCGCCCAAGCACGCUUAACUUCGGAGUUCUGAUGGGAUCCGGUGCUUUAGUGCUGGUAUGAUCGCAUCCGACAUACCGUGCGUUCUCCUCCCCUUUAUGCCCGCGCCUCCGUGUACGGCCCGCCCAUAGCUCCUUCGACGGCGCCGCCUAGGAACGCGGAGAAAAUAUGACAAAGGAACGGCCAAAAAUAAAAAGAAAGACCUUUCUUUUGAAAAAACAAACAAAUAAAAGGAAUGCAACACGAGGACUUCCCAGGAGGUCACCCAUCCUAGUACUACUCUCGCCCAAGCACGCUUAACUUCGGAGUUCUGAUGGGAUCCGGUGCUUUAGUGCUGGUAUGAUCGCAUCCGACAUACCGUGCGUUCUCCUCCCCUUUAUGCCCGCGCCUCCGUGUACGGCCCGCCCAUAGCUCCUUCGACGGCGCCGCCUAGGAACGCGGAGAAAAUAUGACAAAGGAACGGCCAAAAAUAAAAAGAAAGACCUUUCUUUUGAAAAAACAAACGCCUCCGUGUACGGCCCGCCCAUAGCUCCUUCGACGGCGCCGCCUAGGAACGCGGAGAAAAUAUGACAAAGGAACGGCCAAAAAUAAAAAGAAAGACCUUUCUUUUGAAAAAACAAACAAAAAAAAGGAAUGCAACACGAGGACUUCCCAGGAGGUCACCCAUCCUAGUACUACUCUCGCCCAAGCACGCUUAACUUCGGAGUUCUGAUGGGAUCCGGUGCUUUAGUGCUGGUAUGAUCGCAUCCGACAUACCGAGCGUUCUCCUCCCCUUUAUGCCCGCGCCUCCGUGUACGGCCCGCCCAUAGCUCCUUCGACGGCGCCGCCUAGGAACGCGGAGAAAAUAUGACAAAGGAACGGCCAAAAAUAAAAAGAAAGACCUUUCUUUUGAAAAAACAAACGCCUCCGUGUACGGCCCGCCCAUAGCUCCUUCGACGGCGCCGCCUAGGAACGCGGAGAAAAUAUGACAAAGGAACGGCCAAAAAUAAAAAGAAAGACCUUUCUUUUGAAAAAACAAACAAAAAAAAGGAAUGCAACACGAGGACUUCCCAGGAGGUCACCCAUCCUAGUACUACUCUCGCCCAAGCACGCUUAACUUCGGAGUUCUGAUGGGAUCCGGUGCUUUAGUGCUGGUAUGAUCGCAUCCGACAUACCGUGCGUUCUCCUCCCCUUUAUGCCCGCGCCUCCGUGUACGGCCCGCCCAUAGCUCCUUCGACGGCGCCGCCUAGGAACGCGGAGAAAAUAUGACAAAGGAACGGCCAAAAAUAAAAAGAAAGACCUUUCUUUUGAAAAAACAAACACCUAAAAGGAAUGCAACACGAGGACUUCCCAGGAGGUCACCCGUCAUCGUAGUACUCUCGCCCAAGCACGCUUAGCUUCGGAGUUCUGAUGAGAUCCGGUGCUUUAGUGCUGGUAUGAUCGCAUCCGACAUACCGUGAGUUCUCCUCCCCUUUAUGCCCGUGCCUCCAUGUACCGCCCGCCCAUAGCUCCUUCGACGGGACGCUCCUAGGAACGCGGAGAAAAUAUUACAAAGGAGCGCCCAAAAAUAAAAAGAAAGACCUUUCUUUUGAAAAAACAAACGCCUCCGUGUACGGCCCGCCCAUAGCUCCUUCGACGGCGCCGCCUAGGAACGCGGAGAAAAUAUGACAAAGGAACGGCCAAAAAUAAAAAGAAAGACCUUUCUUUUGAAAAAACAAACAAAAAAAAGGAAUGCAACACGCGGACUUCCCAGGAGGUCACCCAUCCUAGUACUACUCUCGCCCAAGCACGCUUAAGUUCGGAGUUCUGAUGGGAUCCGGUUCUUUAGUGCUGGCAUGCUCGCAUCAGGCAUGCCGCGCGUUCUCCUCCCCGGUAGGCACGCAUCUUAGUGUACGUCUCGCCCAUAGCUCCUUCGUUGGGAGCUCCUAGGAGCUCGGAGAAAAUAUGGCAAAGGAACGGCCAUAAAUAAAAAGAAAGACCUUUCUUCUGAAAAAACAAACGCCUCCGUGUACGGCCCGCCCAUAGCUCCUUCGACGGCGCCGCCUAGGAACGCGGAGAAAAUAUGACAAAGGAACGGCCAAAAAUAAAAAGAAAGACCUUUCUUUUGAAAAAACAAACAAAUAAAAGGAAUGCAACACGAGGACUUCCCAGGAGGUCACCCAUCCUAGUACUACUCUCGCCCAAGCACGCUUAACUUCGGAGUUCUGAUGGGAUCCGGUGCUUUAGUGCUGGUAUGAUCGCAUCCGACAUACCGUGCGUUCUCCUCCCCUUUAUGCCCGCGCCUCCGUGUACGGCCCGCCCAUAGCUCCUUCGACGGCGCCGCCUAGGAACGCGGAGAAGGAGUAUGACAAAGGAACGGCCAAAAAUAAAAAGAAAGACCUUUCUUUUGAAAAAACAAACAAAUAAAAGGAAUGCAACACGAGGACUUCCCAGGAGGUCACCCAUCCUAGUACUACUCUCGCCCAAGCACGCUUAACUUCGGAGUUCUGAUGGGAUCCGGUGCUUUAGUGCUGGUAUGAUCGCAUUCGACAUACCGGGCGUACUCCUCCCCUUUAUGCCCGCGCCUCCGUGUACGGCCCGCCCAUAGCUCCUUCGACGGCGCCGCCUAGGAACGCGGAGAAAAUAUGACAAAGGAACGGCCAAAAAUAAAAAGAAAGACCUUUCUUUUGAAAAAACAAACGAAUCCGAGGAAUGCAAGACGAGGACUUCCCAGGAGGUCACCCAUCCUAGUACUACUCUCGCCCAAGCACGCUUAAGUUCGGAGUUCUGAUGGGAUCCGGUGCUUUAGUGCUGGUAUGAUCGCGUCCGACGUACCGUGCGUUCUCCUCCCCUUGAUGCCCGUGCCUCCGUGUACGGCCCGCCCAUAGCUCCUUCGACGGCGCCGUCNNNNNNNNNNNNNNNNNNNNNNNNNNNNNNNNNNNNNNNNNNNNNNNNNNNNNNNNNNNNNNNNNNNNNNNNNNNNNNNNNNNNNNNNNNNNNNNNNNNNAACACGAGGACUUCCCAAGAGGUCACCCAUCCUAGUACUACUCUCGCCCAAGCACGCUUAACUUCGGAGUUCUGAUGGGAUCCGGUGCUUUAGUGCUGGUAUGAUCGCAUCCGACAUACCGUGCGUUCUCCUCCCCUUUAUGCCCGCGCCUCCGUGUACGGCCCGCCCAUAGCUCCUUCGACGGCGCCGCCUAGGAACGCGGAGAAAAUAUGACAAAGGAACGGCCAAAAAUAAAAAGAAAGACCUUUCUUUUGAAAAAACAAACAAAAAAAAGGAAUGCAACACGAGGACUUCCCAGGAGGUCACCCAUCCUAGUACUACUCUCGCCCAAGCACGCUUAACUUCGGAGUUCUGAUGGGAUCCGGUGCUUUAGUGCUGGUAUGAUCGCAUCCGACAUACCGUGCGUUCUCCUCCCCUUUAUGCCCGCGCCUCCGUGUACGGCCCGCCCAUAGCUCCUUCGACGGCGCCGCCUAGGAACGCGGAGAAAAUAUGACAAAGGAACGGCCAAAAAUAAAAAGAAAGACCUUUCUUUUGAAAAAACAAACAAAAAAAAGGAAUGCAACACGAGGACUUCCCAGGAGGUCACCCAUCCUAGUACUACUCUCGCCCAAGCACGCUUAACUUCGGAGUUCUGAUGGGAUCCGGUGCUUUAGUGCUGGUAUGAUCGCAUCCGACAUACCAUGCGUUCUCCUCCCCUUUAUGCCCGCGCCUCCGUGUACGGCCCGCCCAUAGCUCCUUCGACGGCGCCGCCUAGGAACGCGGAGAAAAUAUGACAAAGGAAUGGCCAAAAAUAAAAAGAAAGACCUUUCUUUUGAAAAAACAAACGCCUCCGUGUACGGCCCGCCCAUAGCUCCAUCGACGGCGCCGCCUAGGAACGCGGAGAAAAUAUGACAAAGGAACGGCCAAAAAUAAAAAGAAAGACCUUUCUUUUGAAAAAAACAAACAAAAAAAAGGAAUGCAACGCGAGGACUUCCCAGGAGGUCACCCAUCCUAGUACUACUCUCGCCCAAGCACGCUUAACUUCGGAGUUCUGAUGGGAUCCGGUGCUUUAGUGCUGGUAUGAUCGCAUCCGACAUACCGUGCGUUCUCCUCCCCUUUAUGCCCGCGCCUCCGUGUACGGCCCGCCCAUAGCUCCUUCGACGGCGCCGCCUAGGAACGCGGAGAAAAUAUGACAAAGGAACGGCCAAAAAUAAAAAGAAAGACCUUUCUUUUGAAAAAACAAACAAAAAAAAGGAAUGCAACACGAGGACUUCCCAGGAGGUCACCCAUCCUAGUACUACUCUCGCCCAAGCACGCUUAACUUCGGAGUUCUGAUGGGAUCCGGUGCUUUAGUGCUGGUAUGAUCGCAUCCGACAUACCGUGCGUUCUCCUCCCCUUUAUGCCCGCGCCUCCGUGUACGGCCCGCCCAUAGCUCCUUCGACGGCGCCGCCUAGGAACGCGGAGAAUAUAUGACAAAGGAACGGCCAAAAAUAAAAAGAAAGACCUUUCUUUUGAAAAAACAAACGCCUCCGUGUACGGCCCGUCCAUAGCUCCUUCGACGGUGCCGCCUAGGAACGCGGAGAAAAUAUGACAACGGAACGGCCAAAAAUAAAAAGAAGGACCUUUCUUUUGAAAAUACAUAAUCAAUACAAAAAGGAAUGCAACACGAGGACUUCCCAGGAGGUCACCCAUCCUAGUACUACUCUCGCCCAAGCACGCUUAACUUCGGAGUUCUGAUGGGAUCCGGUGCUUUAGUGCUGGUAUGAUCGCAUCCGACAUACCGUGCGUUCUCCUCCCCUUUAUGCCCGCGCCUCCGUGUACGGCCCGCCCAUAGCUCCUUCGACGGCGCCGCCUAGGAACGCGGAGAAAAUAUGACAAAGGAACGGCCAAAAAUAAAAAGAAAGACCUUUCUUUUGAAAAAACAAACAAAUAAAAGGAAUGCAACACGAGGACUUCCCAGGAGGUCACCCAUCCUAGUACUACUCUCGCCCAAGCACGCUUAACUUCGGAGUUCUGAUGGGAUCCGGUGCUUUAGUGCUGGUAUGAUCGCAUCCGACAUACCGUGCGUUCUCCUCCCCUUUAUGCCCGCGCCUCCGUGUACGGCCCGCCCAUAGCUCCUUCGACGGCGCCGCCUAGGAACGCGGAGAAAAUAUGACAAAGGAACGGCCAAAAAUAAAAAGAAAGACCUUUCUUUUGAAAAAACAAACAAAAAAAAAGGAAUGCAACACGAGGACUUCCCAGGAGGUCACCCAUCCUAGUACUACUCUCGCCCAAGCACGCUUAACUUCGGAGUUCUGAUGGGAUCCGGUGCUUUAGUGCUGGUAUGAUCGCAUCGGACAUACCGUGCGUUCUCCUCCCCUUUAUGCCCGCGCCUCCGUGUACGGCCCGCCCAUAGCUCCUUCGACGGCGCCGCCUAGGAACGCGGAGAAAAUAUGACAAAGGAACGGCCAAAAAUAAAAAGAAAGACCUUUCUUUUGAAAAAACAAACGCCUCAGUGUACGGCCCGCCCAUAGCUCCUUCGACGGCGCCGCCUAGGAACGCGGAGAAAAUAUGACAAAGGAACGGCCAAAAAUAAAAAGAAAGACCUUUCUUUUGAAAAAACAAACAAAAAAAAGGA